ACGGGAGGCAGCAGUGGGGAAUAUUGCACAAUGGGGGAAACCCUGAUGCAGCGACGCCGCGUGAGUGAAGAAGUAUUUCGGUAUGUAAAGCUCUAUCAGCAGGGAAGAAAAUGACGGUACCUGACUAAGAAGCCCCGGCUAACUACGUGCCAGCAGCCGCGGUAAUACGUAGGGGGCAAGCGUUAUCCGGAUUUACUGGGUGUAAAGGGAGCGUAGACGGUAUGGCAAGUCUGAAGUGAAAUGCCAGGGCUUAACCCUGGAACUGCUUUGGAAACUGUCGUACUAGAGUGCAGGAGAGGUAAGUGGAAUUCCUAGUGUAGCGGUGAAAUGCGUAGAUAUUAGGAGGAACACCAGUGGCGAAGGCGGCUUACUGGACGAUAACUGACGUUGAGGCUCGAAAGCGUGGGGAGCAAACAGGAUUAGAUACCCUGGUA
rnacentral:rRNA from 1 species